AACGAACGCUGGCGGCAGGCCUAACACAUGCAAGUCGAGCGAAGCCUUCGGGCUUAGCGGCGGACGGGUGAGUAACGCGUGGGAACGUGCCCUUUGGUACGGAAUAGCCCCGGGAAACUGGGAGCAAUACCGUAUGUGGUCGAGAGACGAAAGAUUUAUCGCCAAAGGAUCGGCCCGCGUUGGAUUAGGUAGUUGGUGGGGUAAUGGCCUACCAAGCCGACGAUCCAUAGCUGGUUUGAGAGGAUGAUCAGCCACACUGGGUCUGAGACACGGCCCAGACUCCUACGGGAGGCAGCAGUGGGGGAUCUUAGACAAUGGGGGAAACCCUGAUCUAGCCAUGCCGCGUGAUCGAUGAAGGCCUUAGGGUUGUAAAGAUCUUUCAGUGGGGAGGAUAAUGACUGUACCCACAGAAGAAGCCCCGGAUAACUCCGUGCCAGCAGCCGUCGUAACAC
rnacentral:rRNA from 1 species